rnacentral:lncRNA from 1 species
CGGCGCAGGCGGCCGACCGGGAGCGCGGACAACGCGGCUGCGGCUAACCCGCCGCCCGGCCGGCUGAGACCCUCGCGCCCCUGCUCCUGGGGCCCCCGCCCCCUCGCCGUCUCCGCCUCCUUCCUCACACACCCCCAGGCCGCCCGGGCCGCCCGGGCCCCAAGCCUUCCCGGUGCUCCUCCCUCUUCUCCUCACACUCGCUCUCUGGCUGGGGUCCGCCUGCCGCCCGCUGGCCUGCUCCCUCCGGGGCAAGUCCUGCUUCUUAAGCGCUCCUUUCACACACGCGCGCGCUCGCUGGGCCGUCCCCUCCUCUCCGGCCCUCCUCCUCCUCCUGGUCCUUGCUAACGCUGCCGUCGGGGAGGAUUGAUGUCCCUUCAGCAUCAUGCAGCCGCCGCCGAGGAAGGUGAAAGUUACACAAGAACUGAAAAACAUUCAAGUUGAGCAGAUGACAAAACUUCAAGCCAAACAUCAAGCAGAAUGUGAUUUGCUUGAAGAUAUGAGGACAUUCAGUCAGAAGAAGGCUGCUAUUGAAAGAGAGUAUGCACAGGGUAUGCAGAAGUUGGCUAGUCAAUACCUGAAGAGAGAUUGGCCUGGAGUAAAAGCUGAUGAUCGGAAUGAUUACAGGAGCAUGUAUCCCGUUUGGAAAUCUUUUCUCGAGGGAACAAUGCAGGUAGCCCAGUCUCGGAUGAAUAUAUGUGAAAACUAUAAAAACUUCAUUUCUGAGCCUGCAAGGACAGUGAGAAGCUUAAAAGAACAGCAACUAAAAAGGGU